UACGUGGGGUGCAAGCGUUGUCCGGAAUUAUUGGGCGUAAAGAGCUCGUAGGCGGUUUGUCGCGUCUGCUGUGAAAACCCGAGGCUCAACCUCGGGCCUGCAGUGGGGUACGGGCAGACUAGAGUGCGGUAGGGGGAGAUUGGAAUUCCUGGUGUAGCGGUGGAAUGCGCAGAUAUCAGGAGGAACACCAAUGGCGAAGGCAGAUCUCUGGGCCGUAACUGACGCUGGAGGAGCGAAAGCAUGGGGAGCGAACAGG
rnacentral:rRNA from 1 species